AUUGAACGCUGGCGGCAUGCUUUACACAUGCAAGUCGGACGAGUGGCGAACGGGUGAGUAAUAUAUCGGAACGUACCGAGUAAUGGGGGAUAACUAAUCGAAAGCUUAGCUACUACCGCAUAUUAUUCGAGCGGCCGAUAUCUGAUUAGCUGGUUGGGGGGGUAAAGGCCUACCAAGGCGACGAUCAGUAGCGGGUCUGAGAGGAUGAUCGGCCACACUGGGACUGAGACACGGCCCAGACUCCUACGGGAGGCAGCAGUGGGGAAUGUUGGACAAUGGGCGCAAGCCUGAGCCAGCAACGCCGCGUGUCUGAAGAAGGCCUUCGGGUUGUAAAGGACUUUUGUCAGAGAAGCGGUACCUGAAGAAUAAGCACCGGCUAACUACGUGCCAGCCGCCGCGGUAAUUC
rnacentral:rRNA from 1 species